GCCUCUCGCACGUCCCAACACGCUGGAGCAACAGCAGCCCGUGAUGCCGGCCGCGCAGCCGUGAAGUCCGUGGAGCGUCCCUAAUCACUGGGGGUUCUGCUUUGCGGUGACAGCGGUGCUACUCACAGCUCCAGAACUCUGCAGCUUCCCCCCUGAAACGGGAACGGGAAGGUGGCGCGGGCGUCCACACCUCGAGCCACAGCCGGCGGGAGGCACAGGCUGGCAAAACUGCCUCUCAGUAGUGAGAAGAGACAAACAAACCGAACGCCAGGAGCAGAGGAAACGAAGACGAUGUGGCCAAGAAAAAUUGCAUUUUUCUUUCCAGUUUUGCUAAAAUAGCCUUCUCAUUGGCUGCGGCUUUGGAGGUGGCAGAAAUCAUACGUUUAAUCACGGCGCCCUCCUGCUUGCCAAGCUUUGCGUCCUCCAGAAUUGUCCUGUGAGUGACUCCCGCAGGAUGGAGACUUUUGUGUCUGGCUUCCUUCACUUCGCAGCAGGCUUCGCGGGACCCGUGUGGUGGCACCAGCGUCCAGCCCUUGGUACUGCUGAGUUGUAGGUUGUGGGACAGGUGGAGGUACCACAGUUGCUCACGGGUUCACCUGUGGAUGGGCAUGUGGGCUGUUGUGAGUGAAGCCACUUCAGACGUUUGCGUGCAGGUUUGGUGGGGACGUGCAGUUUCAUUUCUUUUGAGAGUGGGAUUGCUGGAGCCUAUGUUAAGGGUACGUUCAACUCAUCAGCUCAACUGUCUUCCAAAUGGCAGCCCCGUUUUCCACCCCCGCCAGCAACGCCCGCGACUCCAGGCGCGCUGCAUUUUCAUCAGCACCUGGCAGUGGUGAUUCAUAAUGCUUUAAAUGUUAAUUUCCCUCAUGACUAGUGAUGUUAAACAUCUUAUUAAACAUCUUAGGUAUUAUUUCAUGUGUUAUUUCAAAUCUUUUACCUACUUUUUAGUGGAUUAUAUUUGUCUUCUUAGUAUUGAGUUCUAAGAGUUAAAUAUUGUGGGUACAAGUCCUCUAUCAGAAAUGUGUUUUGUAAAUACUUUCUUCUAGUCUGUGGUUUGUCUCUUCGUUUUCUUAAGUAUGUCUUUAAAGAGCAGAGGCUUUUGAUUUGGAUAAAGUUCAGCUUGUCAGUUUUUUCUUUUAGGGUUAUGUUUUUGUAUCCUAUCUAAGAAUCUUUGACUAUCAAAUUCUCACAAAGCAGUUUUUUGUUUUCUUCUAGAUGUUUUACGGUUUUAAAUUUUACCUUUAGGUCUACAACCAUUGUGAUUUAGAUUUUGUAUUUAAUGUAAGGUAUAAGUUGAGAUUCAUUUCUCUCUGUUUUUGGAGACUUAUGUCCAGCUAUUCCAGAACCAUUUGUUGGAAAGAGUAUCUUUAUCCCAACAAGUUAUGUGGGCACUUUGUUGAAAAAGAUCUAUUGACCAUAUAUACAUGCGUUUAUUUCCAAGACUCUAUUUUGUUCUGUUGACCGACUUGUUUGUCCUUAUGACAAUAUCACACUGUUUUGAUUACAGUGGCAUUAUUGUACCUCUUGCAAAAAUCAAGUGUGAAUCUUCCAAAGAAGAUUUGGAAGAUUUUCUCUUUCAAA
ensembl:lncRNA novel transcript